UACGUAGGUGGCAAGCGUUGUCCGGAUUUACUGGGCGUAAAGAGCGCGCAGGCGGUCGUUCAAGUCGCGUGUGAAAGCCCCCGGCUCAACUGGGGAGGGUCACGCGAUACUGAUCGACUCGAAGGCAGGAGAGGGUAGUGGAAUUCCCGGUGUAGUGGUGAAAUGCGUAGAUAUCGGGAGGAACACCAGUGGCGAAGGCGACUACCUGGCCUGUUUCUUGACGCUGAGGCGCGGAAGCUAGGGGAGCAAACGGG
rnacentral:rRNA from 1 species